GCCGGGAUGGUGGAAUUGGCAGACACGCAGGUCUUAGGAGCCUGUGCCUAAUAAGCGUGCGGGUUCAAGUCCCGCUCCCGGCA
rfam:Acidobacteriales bacterium 13_2_20CM_55_8 13_2_20cm_scaffold_1630, whole genome shotgun sequence.